GGAGGGGUGAACAUCUCCUGCUCUGACUGGGAGGGACUGCUGCGCUAGAACUGGGCCGCCUGUGAGUGCUUUGGUACGGGGUUGGUGGGACGGGGGUGGGGCCCACGGCAGCACCCGCUGCUCGUUGAGAAGCGUAAGAACGGACAUGUAAUCAUUUGGCCAGAUCGGACGUAUGGACCGGCUCUAUUACCUGAACGGAGCCAAAUGAUCCGGCUCACCGAAAAGAAUCACAAUCACUACAAAAGUUACAGUGUCCCACGUUCAGCAACAGGGAGAUGGAGCUCCUCCUCUUCCUCUGUGCGUUCAUCCAUCCCCUCAGGGCACGUGAUCUCAUCAAG